UACGGAGGAUCCGAGCGUUAUCCGGAUUUAUUGGGUUUAAAGGGUGCGUAGGUGGAUUGGUAAGUCAGUGGUGAAAGUUUGCAGCUUGACUGUAAAAUUGCCGUUGAAACUGCCGGUCUUGAGUGCAAAUGAGGUAGGCGGAAUGCGUCGUGUAGCGGUGAAAUGCUUAGAUAUGACGCAGAACUCCGAUUGCGCAGGCAGCUUACUAAACUACUACUGACGCUCAGGCACGAAGGCGUGGGGAUCAAACAGGAUUAGAUA
rnacentral:rRNA from 1 species